GAUCCUGGCUUAGGAUGAACGCUAGCGGCAGGCUUAACACAUGCAAGUCGAGGGGCAGCGGGAUGUAGCAAUACAUUGCCGGCGACCGGCGGAUGGGUGCGUAACGCGUAUGCAACCUACCUAUACAGGGGAAUAACCUUUCGAAAGGGAGACUAACACCCCAUAGUAUUGAUUUAAGGCAUCUUAGAUUAAUUAAAUAUUUAUAGGUAUAAGAUGGGCAUGCGUAUGAUUAGCUAGUUGGUAAGGUAACGGCUUACCAAGGCGACGAUCAUUAGGGGUUCUGAGAGGAAGGUCCCCCACACUGGUACUGAGACACGGACCAGACUCCUACGGGAGGCAGCAGUGAGGAAUAUUGGUCAAUGGGCGCAAGCCUGAACCAGCCAUGCCGCGUGCAGGAAAAGACGGCCUUAUGGGUUGUAAACUGCUUUUACAUAAGACUAACCGUAUAUUUGCGAAUAUACCUGAAUGUAUUAUGAGAAUAAGGAUCGGCUAACUCCGUGCCAGCAGCGGC
rnacentral:rRNA from 1 species